GGGGGGGGGGGGGGGCGGGGUGGGCGGCGGGGGGGGGGGCGGGGGGGGCUGCUUUCGCUGGUGAGUUGCGGGUGCUGUAGGUGAGCACGCGUUAGUAACACGUGAGUGAUCGGCCUCCCACUUGGGUAUAAGCCUGGUGACAUGGGUCUAAUUCCCGAUGAGGCUGCGGGAGGUUUCCUGUGGGUGGUAACGGUUGUCUAUUGGUGGUGUAUGCGCUCGCGGCCUAUCAGCCUGUUGGUGUGGUAGUGGCUUACCAAGGCGGCGACGGGUAGCCGCCCUGAGCGGGUGGACGGCCACAUUGGGAAUGAGAGACGGCCCAGAGUCCUACGGGAGGCAGCAGUGGGGAAUAUUGCACAAUGGGUGGAAGCCUGAUGCAGCAACGCCGCGUGGGGGAUGACGGCCUUCGGGUUGUAAACUCCUUUCGACCGCGAGGAAGCCACCUGGUUGGAAGGGUGGUGACGGUAGUGGUAGAAGAAGCACCGGCUAACUACGUG
rnacentral:rRNA from 1 species